AGUGAACGCUGGCGGUAGACCUAACACAUGCAAGCCGAACGGCAGCACAGUAAGAGCUUGCUCUUACGGGUGGCGAGUGGCGGACGGGUGAGGAAUACAUCGGAAUCUACUUUUUCGUGGGGGAUAACGUAGGGAAACUUACGCUAAUACCGCAUACGACCUACGGGUGAAAGCAGGGGAUCUUCGGACCCUGCGCGAUUGAAUGAGCCGAUGUCGGAUUAGCUAGUUGGCGGGGUAAAGGCCCACCAAGGCGACGAUCCGUAGCUGGUCUGAGAGGAUGAUCAGCCACACUGGAACUGAGACACGGUCCAGACUCCUACGGGAGGCAGCAGUGGGGAAUAUUGGACAAUGGGCGCAAGCCUGAUCCAGCCAUACCGCGUGGGUGAAGAAGGCCUUCGGGUUGUAAAGCCCUUUUGUUGGGAAAGAAAAGCAGCAGGUUAAUACCCCGCUGUUCUGACGGUACCCAAAGAAUAAGCACCGGCUAACUUCGUG
rnacentral:rRNA from 1 species